rnacentral:piRNA from 2 species
GUUAACCGAAAGGUUGGUGGUUCGUGCCCA